AGAUGGCCACCCCACUGAAUCUGGUCUGCUUGAGGUUUCUUCUUGUAAUGAAAAACCACCCAAGGGAGGUUUUCCUAACCACUGCUGCCAAUGUGCUUGUUCAGGGGGUGAGUAAGGUUAGAGCUUACUGUUGUGAAGCAUCUUGGAAUGACUUAUGUUGUGAUUUGGUGCUGUACAAAUAAAUUGAACUCAAAUUCAGUGUGCUC